rnacentral:rRNA from 1 species
UGAAUAUUAAACGGCCGCGGUACCCUAACCGUGCAAAGGUAGCAUAAUCAUUUGUCUACUAAUUAUAGACUAGCAUGAAAGGCAAAAUGAGGGUCCAACUGUCUCUUAUAAUAAAUCAAUGAAACUGAUCUCCCAGUAAAAAAGCUGGGAUCAACCCAUAAGACCAGAAGACCCUGUGAAGCUUAAACCAAACUAUUAAACCUAAUAAUAGCUAAUUUCGGUUGGGGCGACCUUGGAAAAAAAAAGAACUUCCAAACAUAUGAGCCUACCUCAUACCAAAACCACAAGGCUAACAAGCCAACUAACGACCCAGCACAGCUGAAAAACGAACCAAGUUACUCCAGGGAUAACAGCGCAAUCUUCUUCAAGAGCCCAUAUCAAAAAGAAGGUUUACGACCUCGAUGUUGGAUCAGGACAUCCUAAUGGUGUAGCCGCUAUUAAGGGUUCGUUUGUUCAACGAUUAAUA